GAGUUUGAACCUGGCUCAGGAUGAACGCUGGCGGCGUGCCUAAUACAUGCAAGUCGAGCGAACAGAUAAGGAGCUUGCUCCUUUGAAGUUAGCGGCGGACGGGUGAGUAACACGUGGGUAACCUACCUAUAAGACUGGGAUAACUUCGGGAAACCGGAGCUAAUACCGGAUAACAUUUAGAACCGCAUGGUUCUAAAGUGAAAGAUGGUUUUGCUAUCACUUAUAGAUGGACCCGCGCCGUAUUAGCUAGUUGGUAAGGUAACGGCUUACCAAGGCGACGAUACGUAGCCGACCUGAGAGGGUGAUCGGCCACACUGGAACUGAGACACGGUCCAGACUCCUACGGGAGGCAGCAGUAGGGAAUCUUCCGCAAUGGGCGAAAGCCUGACGGAGCAACGCCGCGUGAGUGAUGAAGGGCUUCGGCUCGUAAAACUCUGUUAUUAGGGAAGAACAAAUGUGUAAGUAACUGUGCACAUCUUGACGGUACCUAAUCAGAAAGCCACGGCUAACUACGUGCCAGCAGCCGCGGUAAUACGUAGGUGGCAAGCGUUAUCCGGAAUUAUUGGGCGUAAAGCGCGCGUAGGCGGUUUCUUAAGUCUGAUGUGAAAGCCCACGGCUCAACCGUGGAGGGUCAUUGGAAACUGGGAAACUUGAGUGCAGAAGAGGAAAGUGGAAUUCCAUGUGUAGCGGUGAAAUGCGCAGAGAUAUGGAGGAACACCAGUGGCGAAGGCG
rnacentral:rRNA from 1 species